AGUGAACGCUGGCGGUAGGCCUAACACAUGCAAGUCGAACGGCAGCACAGUAAGAGCUUGCUCUUACGGGUGGCGAGUGGCGGACGGGUGGGGAAUACAUCGGAAUCUACUUUUUCGUGGGGGAUAACGUAGGGAAACUUACGCUAAUACCGCAUACGACCUACGGGUGAAAGCAGGGGAUCUUCGGACCUUGCGCGAUUGAAUGAGCCGAUGUCGGAUUAGCUAGUUGGCGGGGUAAAGGCCCACCAAGGCGACGAUCCGUAGCUGGUCUGAGAGGAUGAUCAGCCACACUGGAACUGAGACACGGUCCAGACUCCUACGGGAGGCAGCAGUGGGGAAUAUUGGACAAUGGGCGCAAGCCUGAUCCAGCCAUACCGCGUGGGUGAAGAAGGCCUUCGGGUUGUAAAGCCCCUUUGUUGGGAAAGAAAAGCAGCAGGUUAAUACCCCGCUGUUCUGACGGUACCCAAAGAAUAAGCACCGGCUAACUUCGUG
rnacentral:rRNA from 1 species